rnacentral:rRNA from 1 species
GAUGAACGCUGGCGGCGUGCCUAAUACAUGCAAGUCGAGCGAACAGACGAGGAGCUUGCUCCUCUGACGUUAGCGGCGGACGGGUGAGUAACACGUGGAUAACCUACCUAUAAGACUGGGAUAACUUCGGGAAACCGGAGCUAAUACCGGAUAAUAUAUUGAACCGCAUGGUUCAAUAGUGAAAGACGGUUUUGCUGUCACUUAUAGAUGGAUCCGCGCCGCAUUAGCUAGUUGGUAAGGUAACGGCUUACCAAGGCAACGAUGCGUAGCCGACCUGAGAGGGUGAUCGGCCACACUGGAACUGAGACACGGCCCAGACUCCUACGGGAGGCAGCAGUAGGGAAUCUUCCGCAAUGGGCGAAAGCCUGACGGAGUAACGCCGCGUGAGUGAUGAAGGUCUUCGGAUCGUAAAACUCUGUUAUUAGGGAAGAACAAAUGUGUAAGUAACUAUGCACGUCUUGACGGUACCUAAUCAGAAAGCCACGGCUAACUACGUG